AGCAUUGCUUUUUGGAUAGGGUACAAAUGCUUCCUGGUCUCUUUCCUGCUGUCUUUGCAAGUUUGCUCCUGAGGGCUUCUGCAGGCACACUCUCCCCUUCAGCUGAUGGAAACCACUUCAGAUCCUUUAAGUCCCUGUGGAGCUUGCUCUCACACUCAAGCCUUUGCACAUGCUGUUCCUUCUACCUGGAGGCCCAUUCCUCUAAACUGACUGACUGGCUAGCUUUCAAGUUCUCAGUUUAAAUGUCAUCUUCUCAGAACCAUCUUCCCUGCAGACUAAAGUCCUGCCUCAACAGGUAGCCACCGAAUCUCAGAAAAAGAAAAAUGACCUUGAGACUUGAGACGGCAUAACCUGGUGGAAAUAAUCUUAGAGUGAGAGGACAUAAUUUUCUCCUUCCAAUUUCCCCUUCUGGCUAAGAUAAAAUGGAUAAAUGGGUAUGGUCCUUGGGGCCCUGCAGAGCUCUCUCUGGAACAUGACAUUGAAUCCCAGUUAUCAGAGUGAGUUAGGAAAUAGGAACAUAUUCAGGUAAAGAAGACAAGGAUGGAGUCCCUGCUACACAAAGACCAGUGGAAGGUACUAAGGGCUGGCCAGGGAAGAGAUGACUAAAGAUGGGCAAGGUCAUUGUUUUUGUGUGUUUCAGGACUAUCUUGGAGAAGAGGGGAUACAGUUGUUGUAUAAUAAUCCAAACCAAUAUAUCUUAGGCACUGCAUUUUAGGUUGUGUUCUGAGAGCUGGAUAAAUAGGUGAUGCAGUUCUUCUGCAACAGAGGAUUUAAGGAAGCAUUCCAAUAUGAUCUAAUGUGGGCUAUAAUGAAGAUUUGGAGGAGGAGCUCUAGGAAAACAAAGGGGCAAAUGAACUACUCUGCCUGGGGAAGUUGCAGUACAUUUUAUGGUAUAACAGAACUUUUCUAGGUUUAGAAAGGUGACAAAGAAUUCUAGGUAGGGCAGAAAGAGCAAUGUAUACAAAAGUGAGAGGCAUGAAAAGGAGGUUACAAAGGGCAGAAGAUGAAGAGAAGACUGGAGAUUUAGGUGGUCUCCAAAGUGUAAGGAGUCUUGAAUUCCAUGUUAAAACAUUUAGACCUAUGCUAUGGAUAUAUUCUAUAGAAAGUAUCCAUCCCGUGAUGGAACUAGGUCCAGUGAUAGAAGAUACAGAAAUUGCCUUGAGAGAGAAUGACUGUCCAUCAAAUAGAGGCUGGUAAGCCCUUUGUUGGGUAUAGACUGAAGAGACAACCACAUAACAGGGCAUUUGUCUGGACUUUGUGAUCUCACCCACCCUCUGGGAAAGGUCCCACCCAGCCUUAGCUUUUCAGGAGGUAUUUUUGCAUAUUUCCCUCUGUGAAAGACAGAGCCUGGAGGUACUAUAUAUUUUUGCUUUCUAAGUUAGAAAACUUUUUAAUAUCUUAACAGCUUAUACCAGAAUUCAUCUAUGAAGUGUAUCUAAGUCUGCUUAGACUGUUAUCACAGAAUAUAAAAACUGGUAGCUCAUAAACAACAAACAGUGAUUUCUCACAGUUUUGGAGGCUAAGAAGCCCAGGAUCAAGCUGCUGGAAGAUUUGGUGUCUGGUGAGGGCCUGCUUCCUCAUUCAUGGACUGCUGUCUUCUCACUGCAUCCUCACAUGGUGGAAGUGGCAAGGGAGUUCACUGGGGUCUCUUUUAUAAGGACACUACUCUCUUGCAUGAGGGUUCUACCCUAAUGACCUAAUAAUCACCUUCCAAAGGCCCUACAUGCAAAUACUAUCACACUGGAGAUUUGGGUUCAACAUAUGAAUUUGGGGAGGGGACACAAACAUCCAGCCUAUAGUAGAAGGAGUCCUUCUUAUUUGGAAAGAUCAUAUGUGAAGCCUCUUUGAGUAGCAGGUAAGACCUCAAAGGGGUUGUCAGGAGUUCAAGCAAAAGAAAAGCUAUGGCUAAGCUGUCCAGCCUGAGAAUAUAAGAGGAGUUAAGUGAUAUAUCUCAUCUCUGUAUCAAUGGGGAAUAGGAGAGAUCAGUGGUUUAUAAGGGGAUGAGGGAAGGAGGGACUAGAAAGAUGGUCUAUGGCUGAGGACUCCACAGGGUAAACAUUUCAACAAUAUGCAUGGUUGUGCAGGUUGCCUUUGCUCAACUGGCUGGCUGAGGCAGCUGGCUGGGGUUGAAAUUAAACCAGUGCCCUGCUCCCUAAUUCAUAUUUUCUGGGUCUGCAUUUGAAGAAAGUGUCUCUAUGGCCUAGUGGUGACCCUGAGAAAAGCAUCUUAUGGAAUUACCUUAUGAUAAGGUGGUUGUUAUGGAUUGAAUGUUUGUGUCCACCUCAAAUUCACGUGUUGAAAUACUAACUCCCCACGUGAUGGUAUUUGGUGGUGGGAUCUUUGUGGGGUAAAGAAGGUUAGAUGAGGUCGUGAUGUUGGGGCCCUUAUGAUGGGAUGAGUGCUCUUAUAAAAUAGGGAGGAAACACAAGAUCUCUGUCUCUCUCUGCACAUGAAGACACAAUCAGAAAGUAGCUGCAAACCAGGAAGAGUGUCCUCAUCAGACACCAGCUUUGCUGGUUCCUUGAUUUUGGACUUCCCAGCCUCUGUAACUGUAAGAAAAUGAAUGUUUGCUGUUUAUGCCAUCCAGUCUCUGGUAAUUUGCUAUGGCAGCCCAAACUAAGAGAGUGGCCAAAAGAGGAUUUCACAAGGGGGAUGCCUAAUGUCCAAUUUGAAGUUGUUGUGAUGUAAUAAUCCUUUCUCUAACUAUUAAAUAAAUCUUCAAGUAAAUGCAUUACACUGAUUAGCUCUUUGUGCAAGAUGAGUAUAUAGAUGUGUAGAAAUAGAAGAAGAGUGGGGUUUCUUGUCUGGAUUACAGCGAUGUGGAAAAAACAGCAUUUGCAGAAUCAGAAACCUAGAUUUGGAGACAUCAGAAUACAAGUCCCCCAUUCCCCUAUCACCCCUUUUUCUUUCCCAGAAUUCUGUGGGCUUUGGUCUUCCAUGAAGCAUGGAGUUGAUCGUUUGAGUCAGUCUUAUCUGGAUUUUAAAGGGAAGGGAGGCAGCAAGUGACAUCAGGAUUACAUUUUAUUGUUUUAGUGCCUCCAGCAAGAUGUCAUGAAUAAGUUUAUUUUAUGGCUGUGCAUCUCUCGCUUAAGUAAGCUAAUAUUGCAUCAUGGGUAGUUUACACAAAUCAUUGUUUUAAGGAUGCAGUUCAAAACAACAAAUGUAUGAGCAAACUGAAAUUCUUAUCUCUAAGAUCCAAAGGAUAAUAGUUCAUUUAUGCAUCACAUCUUCUGGAAUGUAUUUUUAUAGACUCUGUAAAUUGGAUAAGCUAGCUGAGUGCAAUGCAUGGCAUGGAAGGAUAAAUAAUAAGAAGGUUUAGGUUGAAGACCUAGCUCAUGCUAAGCUGCUGUGUGAGUUUAGGUAAUUGUAGUCUUCUCUGAUGUGUAAUUAUCCUGUAAUAUUGGAGUGUUAAAUAAAAAUGACCUCUAGGAUCUGCAUUAAUUAAGACUAAAUUAGUUGUAUUAAAGGAAGAUGGAAACAUCCUUCCUCCUCAUGUAGAGGCCUAAAUGUAGGCUAUAGGUAUCUCUACUCCAAGAAAUCCUCCAGGGUCCAGGAUCCUUUAUAUUUUUCCUGAAAGCAGGAAAACAUAAAAAGCCAAGAAAAAUCUCUAAUGAUGAAAUAUAUAACCUGGAAGCUGCACAUAGUACUUCAACUCACAUUCCCUCGGCCUGAAGUUUGUCGCAUGGGCUCACCCAACCUGCAGGGUAGAUUAGGAAAUACAGAAGUAGAGUCUAUAUUCUUAGCUGAUAUACGUUGCCAGCUAAAAACUGAGGUUCCAUUAUUCCGAGAGAAGAGGAUAAUGGGUAUUGCAGAACAAUUAGAAAUCUCUGCCGCAGGUUCCUUCCAGACCUAACAGUUUAAGAUUCUGGGUGUUGUCAACAGUUUUGAUGACCAGGUAUCAAGUUACUCUCCAUCUUUAGGGCCCUGUCUGCUGGGUGAUGGUUGAGAUGCCUUGAUCACAGAAUUAGCAAGAAUUAGUUUAGACCAGUGCUGUCCAAUGGGAACAUAAUAUAAGCCACACAGAAAUUUAAAAAAAAAUUUCUAGUAGCCACAGUAAAUAAAGGAAAAAGGAGCAGCUAAAAUGAAUUUUAAUAAUUUAUUUUAUCUAAUCAUGCAAACACUAUUAACAAGUUAUUUUACAUUUAUUUUUUCAUACUGAGUCCUUGAAGUUUAUUUUGUAGUGUGCAUUUACAGCACAUCUCAACUUGAACUAGCUGCAUUUUCAGUGUUCAAUAACUCCACAUGUCUAGUGACCACGCUGUAGGACAGUACGUUUGUAGACUGUUGGCUAGAAUGAUAGCACCAUGGUGUACACCAUAAGUUUUUUUAUUAUAAAGGGAAUCUGCUAGUUAAUUAAUUUAGAUUUAACUCCAUAUUAUAAUAUUCAUUAAUAUGAAAGAGAACAUCAUAUUUUCACCUGAGGCUUUCCUAUGAAUAAGUUAACUAUGGACUAUUCGCUUUCUGGAUCAUCAGAAGUCUAACCAAAUACAACUAGUCAAGUUGGAUAGAAGCUGUUGGAGUCCAGUUCUGCCACUUACCAGCUCUGUCAUCAGAAGUAAGCUGCCUAACUCUUCUCAGCCCAAUUUUCUUUAUCGAUGAAAAUGUCAUGUGUUAAAGUCUUUUUUUAUCUGUAUUUUUGGAAACUGGACUCAGCAGAAAUAACACUGGAUAAAGAAUAAAGAAUUUGGAUUUUAGGUUCAACUUUCCCCUGGUUCUGUGAGGCUAACAGUAUCUUCUCUUUAGAUCUUACUUCUUCCAUUUUGAAAGGUGGGGUGGUAUGUUAGAUGCUUAUCAAUUCUUCUUCCCUCUUUUCAAAUGGAAUCACUUGAUGUUAAACUAAAAGGUUCACAUUUCUAGGAUAUCAUUAGGGAGGUAAUUGCUUUCUCAACUUUCAACUACUCCUAAUAAUUCCAUAAAAGGGAGAAUGGGUAUCUGGAAGGCUGAGGCAGCCAUAGUAGCACAAUAUUUCUAAAUUGAUACAUUUUUUGGAAGAAAGAGUGGGAAGAAUCAGGUAGAAAAAUCUUUUAUGGUAGAGACUGGUCCCUUAGCAUAAACAUUGAAAAAAAAAGUCCCAACAACUCUCUAUAAAUUCUGUGGAAAUCUAUAUUGGGGAGUCUUUCUGAAAACUGAUUUGGCAACGUAUUUCAAAUGAUCGAAAACGUGUAUGUCCUUUCAUGUAACAAUUUUUUGUCUAAGAGUUUAAGGAAACAACCUGAUGUUCACAAAGAUGUAUUGAUACGUGCUCAUUGCUCUAUGACUGACAACAUCAGAAAAUCAGAAACACUCUGCCCGCAAAAAAUAAGGACUUAGUUAAAAAGUUAUGGCACAGGCAUAUAUGAAGAUAUUAUGAAACCAUUAAAAGCCAUGUUUUCAAAAAAUAUUUAACGAUGUAGGCAAAUGCUUUACUACAAUGUUGACCAUAAAACAUCACUAAUAAUAUGAUGUAAUCAGUCAGAUGGUCGGUCCCAGACUUCUUUUUAAGUUGGUCCCUUCCCAGGGGUCCCCUCAUCUUUCUAACUUUGCUUUCUUGCCCUCUGGUCCCUGUUUCUCCUUUCCCUCUUCAAAUGUCCUCAGAGUGAAUCUUCAUUUUCUUAUAGGUCAGAGUCUCUUACCUUAAGAGUAAAAUAUCAAAAGACUAUUUUGAUAUUUUAGCCUGGAUAAUUCCCUGUUGCAGGGGUAGGGGCCUGUCCUGUGCUAUGUAAGAUGUUGAACAGCACUCCUAACUUGUGAAUUAGGUGUCAGAAGCACCUUUUCCCAGUGAAGAUAACAAAAAAUGUCCCCAGACAUUGUCAAAUGUUUUGUUGGGGCUCAGUCACUCCUCCAUGCUGCUACUGAGUUUGGUGGUGGUUUAAGUUUGCUAAUCAGGACUCGGAACCAAGGCCCAAUAUGACUUUACCAUUUGUUCCAGAAAAUUCUUGCCCAGGAAGAUAAAGCUGUAAACCAGUAAAUAACUUCAUUGUUAACCUCAGGCAUUUCAUGAAAACCCAUUUAUUCUGCCCAGGCCAAUUGGAUGCUCAUCUGGGUAGACAUCAUCUCUCCUAAGACAAUAGAUUGCUCAACUGGAAAAACCCUUUUGCUUAUCAAACAGCCAUUUACUUAGCAAGACUGCCUCCAAGCCUCUAGCCUCUCAGCGUCCACCAACCCUAAGAUAUCAGAUGACAAAGACCUGCCUGCAACACUGGAAUCCAGACCCCCAAACCCUGGACCUCCUUUUUCUAAGACAUGCUAAAACUUGUUCAAGGCAGUACUCUCCCAUAUUUGGUCAGUGAAAACUGGCCUUUGCUGAUAAACGGUGGU